rnacentral:lncRNA from 13 species
AUGAAGAUGGCAGUGUGUGUGUCUGCCCUGGAGGCGGAGCUAACCAAGGCUGUGGAAGGGACUGUACUACUAAAGGAAGGCAAGGCCCAGCUGGUGCUACAACUCAAUACCCUCAGAGAUAAGGUAGCUAAGAUGGGGGCUGUAGAGUGCCGGCUCUCCUCCCUCCUGCAGGAGCGCAAGGCUUUGGAAAAACAAACCCAGGGAUUACGCAACCAGCUAGCCAAGUCUCAGGAGAGAGUAAGGAUGCUCUGUUCAGUCGGGGCAACCUUUUACACACUGCCUGGCCAAUAGUAGUGCACUGUUAUAGGGAAUAGAGGGUGCCUUUUGGGACGUACCCUCUUCAACCACUUAUGACGCAGUAAUGGUCUACUUUCAUUCAAUAUCAUCAUCAUUUAUAACGUACAGUAUAUUCGGCGUGUGUCAAGCCAAAGACACACUUCAACAUUGCAAGGACAAUUAAGUAUUUCUAAUUUAAUUACGCAAAAAAUUCACUAGUUUUAUGACUCCUGUUGAUUUGUGCGUUUAGUCAAUAUGCUUUGCAGUGUCAGACAGUAUUCAUGUAAAGUUUCCGAGAAAUCCUGGUUGGAGGAUUCCUGAAUCACAAGGGAAUAAUCAGGAAAUCUGGCCUCCUCCAACCAGGAUUUCUGGAAAAAUUGGGGGAAUUUAAAGGAAAGUUAUGGGAACUUAAAGGAAAGUUAGAGGAAUUUUGACCAAGGUGGUUUCUUUCAGAACCAGGUGUUGGAGGAAAGCCUGCAGUCUG